rnacentral:misc_RNA from 1 species
AACGCACAUUGCGCCCGCCAGUAUUCUGGCGGGCAUGCCUGUCUGAGCGUCAUUUCAACCUUCCGCAGCGCGUUCUCGUGCAGCGGGCGUUGGGGAUCGAGGACCGCCGUAGCGCGGCCCCCGCCCCCUAAACCUAGUGGCAGUCCCGCAGCGGCCUCCCUUGCGUAGUAACUACUCUCGCAGGCGGAAAAGCAGCGUGGGUUCGCCGUAAAACCCCCAACUUUCUCAUGGUUGACCUCAGAUCAGGUAGGAAUACCCGCUGAACUUAA